rnacentral:rRNA from 1 species
UACGUAGGGGGGCAAGCGUUGUCCGGAUUUACUGGGCGUAAAGAGCGCGCAGGCGGUCGUUCAAGUCGCGUGUGAAAGCCCCCCGGCUCAACUGGGGAGGGUCACGCGAUACUGAUCGACUCGAAGGCAGGAGAGGGAAGUGGAAUUCCCGGUGUAGUGGUGAAAUGCGUAGAUAUCGGGAGGAACACCAGUGGCGAAGGCGACUUCCUGGCCUGUUCUUGACGCUGAGGCGCGAAAGCUAGGGGAGCAAACGGG